UGGCGCGUGGAGAAGUGGCUUAACUCUCGACGCUUUGACCGUCGCAUUUUCGUAGGUUCGAAUCCUACCGCGCCAGCCA
rnacentral:tRNA from 1 species